UAUCGCAUUACCCAGGUGCAAGUGAAAGAAACAUUUCCUUGGACAAUUCGACAGCUCUGAUCAAAAUGUUCAGAUAAAAAGGAGGCAAGACGACACAUGAAUUGAAAUCACUUUUAGAAUUACUAGAUGAACAGACAAUGGAUGUUACCACACACGAGGGCAACGGUUCUACAAGGACCACCUCUGUACUUAAGAGAAUACAAGAAGUUAUCAACAACAGGUCAUGAUAAAGACUCCCUUCAAAUAUAUACAAAUAAAAUGAAGAUAAGAAUAUUGGAGGUUGUGAGACACCAUGAGACCCAUCCUGGAGCGGCACCAGUGAACGUGGCUGUGGUAAGAGAAGGUCGAGUAGUAAUUGAAGAGCUUGUCGACUUCACAACUGCAUUUGUCAUACUUGUUGGUCUUCUGUAGGCUGUAAACAUUCAGUACCCUAAAGAACUGAAAUACACUUUUGAAACAGAGCAGAAGGCGUUUCUAAAUAUUGGAGACUCGUACUCACAUUGAAUAUGCUGCAUAAAUAAAAUGUUAGGCAAAUGUGUCUGAGAUCUGCAGAAUAGGAUAUGUUUGUCUUUUGAUUUUAGAUUAAAUU